rnacentral:rRNA from 1 species
AACUUCGGGAAACCGGAGCUAAUACCGGAUAAUAUUUUGAACCGCAUGGUUCAAAAGUGAAAGACGGUCUUGCUGUCACUUAUAGAUGGAUCCGCGCUGCAUUAGCUAGUUGGUAAGGUAACGGCUUACCAAGGCAACGAUGCAUAGCCGACCUGAGAGGGUGAUCGGCCACACUGGAACUGAGACACGGUCCAG